rnacentral:misc_RNA from 1 species
UCCCCGUUACCGAGGCAGUCUGAAUAGACAAAUCCAACUAUUCACGAGGGUUGCGCUCGUUGAGGGACUUAACCCGACAUCUCACGACACGAGCUGACGACGGCCAUGCAUCACCUGUCACCAGUCCAACUAAAUGAAGCUCUAGUUUCCUAAAGCGGCAACUGGGAUGUCAAGCCUUGGUAAGGUUCUUCGCGUAGCCUCGAAUUAAACCACACGCUCCACCGCUUGUGCGGGUCCCCGUCAAUUCCUUUGAGUUUUAGCCUUGCGGCCGUACUCCCCAGGCGGGAUACUUAACGCGUUAGCUUCGCUACCGAGAGGGUCGAUACUCCCGACAGCCAGUAUCCAUCGUUUACGGCGUAGACUAC